rnacentral:rRNA from 1 species
CGUUUAGGGGUAAACCUGAGAAACCCGAAAGGUCGAAGGAAGAAAUUCAUUCGUGCCCGAUAAGGUUAUUAUACGGUAUUAUGGUGUCAAAAAAUGAAUUCGCGUUCAUUUUUUGACCUGCUGUAUAAUAUAUGUACCUUGUUGGACGCGUGCACUUUUCUUCUGGUAGGACGUUGCGAUCCGUUGGGUGUUGGUCUACGGUUUAGUAGGUAGUUCUUAAAAUGUGAAUAUUUAAUUCAUAUUUUAAGAACCACUAAUACCUGGUCAACUGGCCUGACGGUAUAAUUUAAACGGUUAUCGGCCGCUCAUUUAUGAAGCGUUCGGCUUGUGGCAAGCACGUCAAAUGUUUUGGAUAUCGGACCUAGUGCCGUGUCUGAUCCUUGGCGUCUGUUGGUUACAAUGUCUCGAACAGACCGAUUAUUUUAAACCAAUCUGCAACGAUAUAGCUUUGGGUACUUUCAGGACCCGUCUUGAAACACGGACCAAGGAGUCUAGCAUGUACGCAAGUCAUUGGGAAUUACAAAACCUAAAGGCAUAAUGAAAGUAAACGUUUACCUUUACGGUGAACGAUGGGAAGAUGGGCGUUAUAUAUAAUACGUUCCGCAUUCCCGGGGCGUCUCAUUCUCAUUACGAGAAGAGGCGCACCAUGAGCGUACACGCUGGGACCCGAAAGAUGGUGAACUAU